rnacentral:rRNA from 1 species
AUAUCAAUAAGCGGAGGAAAAGAAACUAACAAGGAUUCCCCUAGUAACUGCGAGUGAAGCGGGAAAAGCUCAAAUUUAAAAUCUGGCGGUCUUUGGCCGUCCGAGUUGUAGUCUGGAGAAGUGCUUUCCGCGCUGGACCGUGUAUAAGUCUCUUGGAACAGAGCGUCAUAGAGGGUGAGAAUCCCGUCUUUGACACGGACUACCAGUGCUUUGUGAUGCGCUCUCGAAGAGUCGAGUUGUUUGGGAAUGCAGCUCAAAAUGGGUGGUAAAUUCCAUCUAAAGCUAAAUAUUGGCGAGAGACCGAUAGCGAAUAAGUACCGUGAGGGAAAGAUGAAAAGCACUUUGGAAAGAGAGUUAAACAGUACGUGAAAUUGCUGAAAGGGAAACGCUUGAAGUCAGUCGCGUCUGCCGGAACUCAGCCUUGCUUUCGCUUGGUGCAUUUUCCGGUAGACGGGCCAGCAUCGAUUUUGACCGUCGGAUAAGGGCCAGGGAAAUGUGGCACCCUCGGGUGUGUUAUAGUCUCUGGUCGCAUACGACGGUUGGGAUCGAGGAACGCAGCGCGCCGCAAGGCAGGGGUUCGCCCACUUUCGCGCUUAGGAUGCUGGCGUAAUGGCUUUAAACGACCCGUCUUGAAACACGGACCAAGGAGUCUAACAUGCCU